rnacentral:rRNA from 1 species
GAUGAACGCUGGCGGCGUGCCUAAUACAUGCAAGUCGAGCGAACAGACGAGGAGCUUGCUCCUCUGACGUUAGCGGCGGACGGGUGAGUAACACGUGGAUAACCUACCUAUAAGACUGGGAUAACUUCGGGAAACCGGAGCUAAUACCGGAUAAUAUAUUGAGCCGCAUGGUUCAAUAGUGAAAGACGGUUUUGCUGUCACUUAUAGAUGGAUCCGCGCCGCAUUAGCUAGUUGGUAAGGUAACGGCUUACCAAGGCAACGAUGCGUAGCCGACCUGAGAGGGUGAUCGGCCACACUGGAACUGAGACACGGUCCAGACUCCUACGGGAGGCAGCAGUAGGGAAUCUUCCGCAAUGGGCGAAAGCCUGACGGAGCAACGCCGCGUGAGUGAUGAAGGUCUUCGGAUCGUAAAACUCUGUUAUUGGGGAAGAACAAAUGUGUAAGUAACUAUGCACGUCUUGACGGUACCUAAUCAGAAAGCCACGGCUAACUACGUG